UUGGUGGAUGGCAUGGGUUUAAUUCGAUGCAACGCGAAGAACCUUACCUGGUCUUGACAUACAGAGAACUUUCCAGAGAUGGAUUGGUGCCUUCGGGAACUCUGAUACAGGUGCUGCAUGGCUGUCGUCAGCUCGUGUCGUGAGAUGUUGGGUUAAGUCCCGCAACGAGCGCAACCCUUUUCCUUAUUUGCCAGCACUUCGGGUGGGAACUUUAAGGAUACUGCCAGUGACAAACUGGAGGAAGGCCGGGGACGACGUCAAGUCAUCAUGGCCCUUACGACCAGGGCUACACACGUGCUACAAUGGAU
rnacentral:rRNA from 1 species